rnacentral:pre_miRNA from 1 species
GCGUGUUCACAGCGGACCUUGAUUUAAUGUCCAUACAAUUAAGGCACGCGGUGAAUGCCAAGAGAGGAGCCUCACAGCUUCAUU